AUUUCAGACUUCGUUGCCUUGUUCUGAGAUACUCAUCCGCGUCUAUUGGAGGGUUUCAGCGAGCAAGUCAAUCUUCAAGUUGGGAGCAGACAUAUUGGGAGAACCUACUGAUAACUCAAAAAUGCCCCUUUUCUGUGAAUGUUCUGCUGCCCAUUGCUGAGAUUCUGUAGCCAUCAUAUCAAACAGUUCAAAUGCCUCUCUUGCAGAUUUAUUUGACAAUGAUCCUCCUGCUUAUGCAUUCACAUGGCUCUUAGAUGUAGGAUUAAGCCCAUCAAAGAAAAUAUUCAUUUGUGUAUCUGAAUCAAUUUUAACAUGUGGACACUUUAUGUACAUCUCUGUAUAUCUCUCCCACGCUUCAUGAAACUCUUCAUUAGGCUUCGUGUAAAUGUCAAAAUCUCCCUCUUGAAAUUCA